rnacentral:ncRNA from 1 species
GAUCAUUGCAAUGUGGUGGCUAAGUAUUCAUGGCAAUGCCACUGUUUGGUCCUUAGAUAUUAGCACUCCGUCAUAAAAUAUUGGUUCUUCAUUGUGAAGCAGACUUCACUAAGGGUGGGAUUGUUCACCCAUUAAUAAGAAUUUGAGCUGUGAUUAGGCAAUGGUGAUACAAGAC